rnacentral:rRNA from 1 species
UACGUAGGGUGCAAGCGUUAAUCGGAAUUACUGGGCGUAAAGCGUGCGCAGGCGGUCUGCUAGAGAGGUGUGAAAUCCCCGGGCUCAACCUGGGAACUGCAUCUGUGACUGUAUAGCUAGAGUACGGUAGAGGGGGAUGGAAUUCCGCGUGUAGAGUGAAAUGCGUAGAUAUGCGGAGGAACACCGAUGGACGAAGGCAAUCCCUGGACCUGUACUGACGCUCAU